rnacentral:rRNA from 1 species
UACAGAGGUCUCAAGCGUUGUUCGGAUUCAUUGGGCGUAAAGGGUGUGUAGGUGGCGCCGUAAGACGGGUGUGAAAUUUCGGAGCUUAACUCCGAAACUGCAUUCGAUACUGCGGUGCUUGAGGACUGGAGAGGAGACUGGAAUUCAUGGUGUAGCAGUGAAAUGCGUAGAGAUCAUGAGGAAGACCAGUGGCGAAGGCGGGUCUCUGGACAGUUCCUGACACUGAGACACGAAGGCCAGGGGAGCAAACGGG